CUUUCUGCCCCCUUUCCUGGAGAGGAACUGUUCAUGUCUUGGAGAAGAAGAGACAAAUUCCUUCAAAAACAGCAGCACGGCCUCCCUUGGCCCCCGCGCAGCAGGCGCCCCGCGCUUUAUUGGAGGUUUACGU
ensembl:misc_RNA